AACAGCUUUUAAUAAUGCAUUUUAUUUAACCUAAUAUAUAUAUAUAUAUUCCACUUCAACAUGUAACCAAUAUUAAACAUUAUCGCCACUAUACUUUACUUUUUUUUUCCUUGAACUUAGUUUCAAAUUCCAGCAUGUAUUCCACAUUUAUACCUCAUUUCCAGUGCACAGUGGUCAUACCCAGCUAAUGGCUGCGACACUGGACGCUGCGGCUCUAGAAGCGUAUGUAUACAUAGAGGACCCGGCACACUUGACUGAGACUGAAGGACUGAGGGAGUCCGGAAAAGGGAGGGGAGCACCUAAUAGGCAGUGGGGACAAAUCCUCCAAAACAAAAUAUUUGGCAUACUUGAGGGACUGGAAAAACAUUCCGAGCAAUUGUACAAGAGGGAGAAAGGUGGAAAAUGAGGCUGAAGGGGUAGGAUGACAUUAUGAAGGGCUAUUUAAACAGUGUUAAGCAGUUUGGAUUUGUUCCCAGAAGAAUGGGGAGCCAUCAAAAAGUUUUAAAUGGAAAAGUGACAUGAUCAGAUUGGCACUUUAAAAACAAUCAACCUUACUUUAGAGAGAAGAUAAACUACAGGGUUCAUGUGCCAGAGCUGCCACUUGUCAGCUCUAUGACCUUGAGCGAGGGAUGUAAUGUCCCUGAGCCUCAGUUUCCUCUGUGAAAUGGGAAUAAGAAGACCUUCAUCAAAACCACAGUCUGGAAUCAGACAAGACAAGAAACCUGUUUUACUAUCUUGUCCUUCACCCAAGUUUUUGUUCUUAUAUGUAUUUGCUGUCAUAUCCUGAGAGAGUUUUUAUGUGACCUAUAUAGUCUCAGAGUUUUCUCUGGUCUGUAUGUCUAUAAGGGCUGCCACUGGCUCAUCCUUUAAAUAUGUGAUAAGAUUUCUGAGGUUUAAAUUCCUAAAGAUAGAGAGAAAUGGUUCUCAAAACGGCUUCUCAGCAUGGGAAAAAGCAGCGAUAGUGCCAACCAAUAACAGAUCAAUUAUUUAUGGUGUUUUCGAGCAUAGUGACUCACCCAGUCAUUUUCUUGCAAAAUCUUACAAUAAAAUAUUUUAAUACUAAGAUUAAAUCACAUGGAGAAUGUUUCCUUCACUUCUGGCCAAAAUAUGAGCAUCUGAGGCUGUCCCCUUCCUUCCUUCCUGUUCCUGGUGAUACGCCUGCCCUCAUCUGCAUCCUGGAGGGGCCCCAUUGUGUAAAGGAAUGGAACUUGGAGUUCUCAAGAAUACUUUUAGGUUUAAGUGGUAAACCAGGAACAUAUUAAAAGUUCAGUAUUUCUUUUGAAAAAAGAUCAACUUUAAAAUGAGCCCAGCAUUGCUUUCAUGUUAAGCUGCACUGAGCAGGGACCUGCGGUGUUUCCAACAGCGGCAGAGGCAGAGACACAAAACAGGGAAGCAGCCGAGACCCCUUUUGUCCUCUUCCACGGGCGCCCAGAGUGAGCCCCUGUCACCGCAUCAAGUCAUGGCUUCCUUCCCAGCCCGAGCCUUCCAGAACCUGGAGCCUCACGCAACUGAAGCAGAUGCGAAUGUGAUACUUGCUGCUUUCUCUGGAAACAGCCUGUUAAUCACCAAAUUUUACAAUGAUUAAUCCCAGUCUGGCUGAUGGCUUUCUUCAGGGGACUGUUAGCGUUUUGUUAUAUGCAGCCAGACAUUUCUCCUGUCUCCAAGAGAUACUGUGAUAAUCUGUCCUGAGAGUGAGCUGUAAUCCUCAUCCUACUUCCAAAAAAAAGUCCACUGUUUAAGUUUCUUAUUAAUAAAAGAGUACAAUAACAUCUGAUUUCUUCUCAUUAUGCUUGCAGAUGGUUCAAGUAGUUCUAAAGCCUUUCAAAUUACUUGGAAUAAAAAAGACUGAGACCCUGCGGUAGAAGUGUCUUCUUUAGAAAUGUAUGCUUAGGCCUCCCUCAGCUUACUAUUCCUCUAGUAAAGCAAAGCUUUUAAAAAUUGGUUUGUUUUUCUUCCUAUGCACUCUCUAGAAAAUUAGAAAAAUAUAGAAAGGGGAAGAAAGAAAAAUAUGAGGCUAAUCCAAUUUGAGAAGUGUUGUAUAUCACACUACUUACGUCUUUGGCUUUGUAAACUAGGCAGUGUGCACAUCUCACUGAAACCGCCAUCUCCAGCAGUGCGACCUGACGGUUAAAACAAGAAAGAAGACCAUGUCUAGGGAGUCUGGCCGACGAGCCAGGUGUGAGAUAACGUGGUAUCUCCUGCAGUAUGCUACUUUCCUACCUUGUUUUCAUAUUUCAUAUGCUGUGGCUUUUAGGGCUUUGAUGAUUUUUGUUUUGAUGAGUUUUGUAAAGGCUUGAAAGGCUUCUUGAAAAUAUUAAUAGGGUUUUCCUAUUCCAGGAGUUUUGUAUAACAUAGGUCAAAUACACAAUGGCUGUCAGGGUCCUGAGUCCUCAAAAGUUAUCCAAGUCAUUUAUUUGAAUGUUCUUGUCCAAUAAAUAAAGUUGUAUUUAUUGCAGCUUUCGCCUACUAGGUUGUUGGAGACAGGAAAAAAAUCUUCUAAAAUUUUCAAUUAAUACAAAUAUGCCUUCAUGCAGAAGACUGUGCAAAAGUCAAUUGAGUGUAUGAUUGUCAGUUCAAAGUGGAGGACAAGGAACUCUUUUUCUAAUGGUAAUUAUUUUACCUUUCCCACCUGGGAGUUACUAUGCUAUUAAAAUAAUGGCUUAGGGCAUUUUGCAAAGCAUGCAGUUAAAAGUUAAGAAAAUGUAUUUGUGUUUUCCUGUUGGAAAUUUGUAUCUUAAUUGAUUAAUUUGUUCCACAUUAAUAUUUAUUAGUCUUAAUACAGAACCAAUGGCUACAUCCAAGAGGCUAAAGAUAGACCAUUUUCCCAAGGGUUUCUCAAGAAAUGUCCCAUCCAAGUUGCCUUUGAUGUAAGCUUCAUAAUUUGUCACUAUGUGUCAGGAACCUGAGCCCACGGCCUAGGCAUUCUGCUUCUGGGGUUGAUUCUGAGAAGGUAACUCCAAACAUGGGGUGGGGCCAGUGGGAUUGAAGGGAAUUUUUGCCCAAAUUCAUAGUAUAUUUAUACCAGGAAAUUAUUAAAAACAAGUCACAGAUGCAACCACCGGACCAUUAAAUUUAUGCUCUAUACACUUAAUGGAAUUUUUACAUGAUGGUUACAAAGAAUUUGUAGUAAUAUGUGAAAUUGUUUAUAAUUUAGUGUUACGUAAAAAGAGAAAAACUAAAAUUCUACCUAGAGUAUUAUCGCAUUUCAGUUAAAAACAAAAGGAAACCCACACUUCGAUAAAAGAGAUUAAUAUUAACUUCCCAAAGUAGUAAUCAUAGUUAUCUUUGAGUGAUGGUUUACAUGACUAAAUAUUUUUAUUCUGUCCAACAAGCAUGCAUUGUUUUGUAAUUUUAAAAAGCCCUAAUAACUAAGGAUAUGCUUUACCACAAUUGAUAAUCUGACUUUCCAAAGCCUUCCUAACAAAACUGAAUCUGUGAUAUCUUCCCAUGUAGCGUCUUCCUGCACUUUCUCCCCUUUUCCAACCAGCUCUACUCUACAACUAGGCUAGGAGACUCAGAAUACCUCACACUCCCACCUCUGUGACUUGGGCUAUAGCCUACUACACUGCACUCUAGCCUUUAGGUCUUUCAUCCUAAAGAUCCCGUUCACAUCCCACCUCCUUUGGACAGGCUUCCUUGAGCCACCAUGGACGGCUCUUGCUGUCCCCUUCUCGUUGCAUCUCUAUGAAGUAUUUGUGACGGGUAUACAGGGUUCAGCUGAAUGUAGUUUCCAUCUGUUCGUGCCGUCACCAGCAGCACAGGCACCCGCCCCUCUGACCUUGGGCCCCACCCACGUGGGCCCCAGUGCUGACUGCCUGGAGGAGCGUAUGCGUCUGCUGACUGCCCGUCAACUUGCAGAACAAGUGGUGGAGUUUCCACAACACGUAAUGUUGAAUGUGUGUCACCUAGCUUGAAUUUAA